UACGUAGGGUGCAAGCGUUGUCCGGAAUUAUUGGGCGUAAAGAGCUCGUAGGCGGUCUGUCGCGUCUGCUGUGAAAACCUAGGGCUUAACCCUGGGCCUGCAGUGGGUACGGGCAGACUAGAGUGCGGUAGGGGAGACUGGAAUUCCUGGUGUAGCGGUGAAAUGCGCAGAUAUCAGGAGGAACACCGGUGGCGAAGGCGGGUCUCUGGGCCGUAACUGACGCUGAGGUGCGAAAGCGUGGGGAGCAAACAGG
rnacentral:rRNA from 1 species